rnacentral:rRNA from 1 species
UACAGAGGUCUCGAGCGUUAGGCGGAAUCACUGGGCUUAAAGCGUGUGUAGGCGGACUGGUAAGUACCUUGUGAAAUCCCACGGCUCAACCGUGGAACUGCUUGGUAUACUGCUUGUCUUGUGCAACCUAGGGGCGAGCGGAACAAAUGGUGGAGCGGUGAAAUGCGUAGAUAUCAUUUGGAACGCCAAUGGUGAAAACAGCUCGCUGGGGGUGCACUGACACUGAGACACGAAAGCCAGGGGAGCGAACGGG